rnacentral:rRNA from 1 species
AAUAGAUACCCGGGUAGUCCUAGCCGUAAACGAUGAGCACUGGGUUGAAGGGUCCUCCAUAGCCUUUCAGCCGCAGCGAAAGUGUUAAGUGCUCCGCCUAGGGAGUAUGGUCGCAAGGCUGAAACUCAAAGAAAUUGACGGGGGCUCACACAAGCGGUGGAGGAUGUGGCUUAAUUCGAGGCUACGCGAAGAACCUUAUCCUAGUCUUGACAUGCACGGAUUAACUCCCUGAAAGGGGAGCCAGGCCUUCGGGUACAACGUGCACAGGUGCUGCAUGGCUGUCGUCAGCUCGUGCUGUGAAGUGUCGGGUUAAGUCCCUUAACGAGCGAAACCCUUGUCGCUAGUUGCCAGCGAGUCAUGUCGGGGACUCUAGCGAGACCGCCGGCGUUAAGCCGGAGGAAGGCGGGGAUGACGUCAAGUCCUCAUGGCCUUUAUGACUAGGGCUGCACACGUCCUACAAUGGCGCGCACAAAGGGAUGCAAAAUCGCGAGAUCAAGCAAAUCCCAAAAAACGCGCCCCAGUUCGGAUUG